CUGGGUGACCUUGCAUGAGGCUGGAAUCUUCAUCGUCAUUGAUAAAAUUUCCUGCCUCUCUCUCCUCAACAGGGACGACAUGUCCUUCAUUUAACCAACAAAUGUUUAUCAAGUGCUACCGUGAAGAAGGUUCCAUCCUGGGCAGUGGGGACACAGCAUUGAACAGAAGAGAGCUUAAAGUCAAACCAUGAAGCAGAGACCAGGAUUCCCUGCAACCUGCUGAAGGGCUUCUUGAAAGUCUCACCCUUCACCUCCUGAGAUUAUCCAGCCACAUGUGAUGAAUAUAUGAGGCAGUUGCCAUUUUGGAAAGAGCAUCAUGUGGAGAAUAAGGAAGACUCAAGGUCUCAUCCUAGCUCUGCCUCGAACUGGAUAAGUGAUACCAUGCUGGUUCCUGUCUUCUACAGACCUCAGUUUCCUUAUCCGUAAGAUGGGGAGAGGGCAAGUACCUGAACUUUGAAGUUCCUGAUCUCCACAAAAACAAAAAACAAACCAAAAUACCCACCCAACUCUAACCUUGCUACUCGUGUUUCAAAGCUUUGGCGGCGGGGCAAAGCUUCAGGUAUUUUAUUGGGUUGGAGUUCAUGGAGAGGUUGCCAUGAGCUGACCCUGUCUUACUUUUAGGUCUGAAAAUUAACAAGGCAACUGUUGUCUCUGGUUC
rnacentral:lncRNA from 1 species